GACGAACGCUGGCGGCGUGCUUAACACAUGCAAGUCGAGCGGUCAGGCCUUUCGGGGUACGCGAGCGGCGAACGGGUGAGUAACACGUGGGUGAUCUGCCCUGCACUUCGGGAUAAGCCUGGGAAACUGGGUCUAAUACCGGAUAUGACCUCCUAUCGCGUGUUGGGAGGAGGAAAGAUUUAUCGGUGCAGGAUGGGCCCGCGGCCUAUCAGCUUGUUGGUGGGGUAAUGGCCUACCAAGGCGACGACGGGUAGCCGACCUGAGAGGGUGACCGGCCACACUGGGACUGAGACACGGCCCAGACUCCUACGGGAGGCAGCAGUGGGGAAUAUUGCACAAUGGGCGAAAGCCUGAUGCAGCGACGCCGCGUGAGGGAUGACCGCCUUCGGGUUGUAAACCUCUUUCAGCAGGGACGAAGCGAAAGUGACGGUACCUGCAGAAGAAGCACCGGCUAACUACGUG
rnacentral:rRNA from 1 species